CCGGAGACGAGGGGGUUUCUGAGAAAACGUGUUGUGGGUGAGGUGUGUGGUCAGGUUUCCUAUAAGAAAAGGUUGAUUGAGCUGCUCAAAGUGCAAAUACUCAGCACUCAUGUUUGCCAAGAAAAGGCUGAGGGGUGUGGUCUUUGUUAAUAGUUUUCUGUGCUCCUGAUAACUCCCCCACAUACACACAUAUACACAGUCAGGAAGUCACUGUAGAGGCAACAAAACGAGAGGAAAUGCAGAAGUUACCAUAAGAAAAGCUCCGGCUGCUUCCUUAAUAGUAUGUUAUGAUUUCAAAUUUAUCAUAGAAUGGGUUUGUUCGAUUUUUGGCAUAAUAAACUAUUUAAUCAAUUCAGCAUUUCAAGUUAAAACAUAGAGACCUUUACUUGCUAAACUAAUGUGUUUUUGCUCAUUGAGGAGGCUAGCUAGAUAUAUUCGAAUAUCUAUGAUAAAAUAUAAAAUACAAAAUCUUUGGUUAGGAAACUGUAAUAACUAGCCAGGGUUCGUGAUAAUCACCUACGACACUCCCACUUUUACCAAGAAUGGACACAAUCUUGCGGCACGUUUUGUUGCAAUUUUCUCCUUCCAAAACAGACAGAUCCCAGUUCCUAUCCACGUUUAUUAUGUAUGUUUCUCUUGAACUGUGAUUGUUGUCCGCUGUUAAUAGUUUGACACGCUCUUUAAAAUAAUGCUUUAAUUUUACAUCGUAUUCAGUAAGCUCAGCUUUACAUUCGCUAAUGUCAUCUUGUUCGAGUUGAUCUAGCAAAAACUUCAACACAUCAUAGUGAAACCAUGAGAUGGGAAGGGUUAUCCUCAGAAACAGAUUGUCUAUAGUAUGAGCCUUUUUGAAUACUUUGGAGUAUGCAUGAGGUAUUUUUUUCAGGGCCUUUUUCACGUCUGAAAAGCAAUAACGAUUCUUGAUCCGUUCUACCAGAUCAUCAAAAUCUGACUGAAGGUUCCUUGUUUGCUUUCCUAAAGCUUGCCUCUCUAAAAACUGUGGGACAUGAAUAUGAAUGGCUGCCAGAUGUUUUUCUUUUUCCAGAACGAUAUUUUUCAGAAUGAUAUUACGUUCUGUCUCUUGAAUCUCUUUGGACGGGGUUGCGGAAACUACGACAAUAGUAUCAUGUAGUAUAGAACUCUCAGACAUAGUGUUAACUCUCUAACUAGUACAACUUGUUACUAUACUGCAGCAAACUUGUUUAUUAUAUAACGGUGUGUUAACACACUAGCCUGGGUAAGCACCAUGAAAUAUGAUCACAUAGAUAAUUAUUGUGUUGACUGAACGGCCUGACACACAGGUGGUCCCUAAUGUAUUUCUAUGUAUUCUUUGUUAUAUCCAAAUAAGGAUGGAUAACUCAUAACACUGGCGCCUGGGGUCUGCAUCCUAAUUAAACGUCAUUGAUAAGCUAUAAAUAAUUAGCUAUGCUUGCAAAAUAACACUGCCCUAACUGGAAAAACCUGUUCUUACCUUGAGAUUGACUGAUCUAGCUAGAGUCUAUGCUUGAUUGACUGUUUGUCUGGAUUGGAUGGCAAUGAUAAACACUGAUCGUGAUUGCCAGCAAACCCUGCCUCUCCCCCCAGAGGCUAUAAAGUUAGCGGACGAGGGGCUGUCAAGCUUAACUAAGCAGGUUGAAAAAAAGUUCAAGGAGGAUUUGAUGGACAUUACGUGCCUACUUUUGCUCCCAACCUAUAUUCCUGAAUUCAAGAGGUUUCUCCUCUCCCAAACGAUGCGACAUUGCGUUUCCGAAGAAGAGCGUUUGCUAAUACCUAAGGCCAGUCGCAAGGAACUUCAAGAAAUGUUCGUAAAUAAAUUCCAAUGGUUUAAUUCCACAUUAUUUGAUGUACUACCCAAGUAUGUACCUGAGAGGAUAAAAGAUGUUGUUAUGCCCAAGUUAGCUGCAAUACAAAAAAUUGUGGAUGAGUACUUCAAUGGAACGGGAAGACUGAUAAUAGAUCCAUCACAAAUUCUUAUUGUCUUUGAUUCGGCUUAUGAGGAUAUUCCAGCCUCUCAAUUUGAUGAUCUGUAUAAGAUAGCUCUAGAAGCAACGGGGUUCGAAUGUGAUGUUGGCCACUGCGACGUUGCUGAAGCUAUGAUUAUUAGGAUGAAAAUGUACGAUAAACCCAUACAGGAGUCUCUACAAGAUAGCGAUUACGAAGAGGAACUGUGCCCACUGGGACGAGGGCAUAGGAUGAAACGUAAACUGAAUAAUAGGAAGACGGUUACUGAUACCUCAAGCUACACGGACACAAUGCACUUUGUGUCCCAAGCCGAACCAUAAAAAAUGUCUGUUAUAGGUUUUUCCUCACAUUUGCAUGCAUGGAGGUUUUUUCCUUGCUUUAUCUCAUAAAGCAAAAUUAUGUGUGUAUCUAUAAUGCUCAA